AAAGCCAUUUUCUUCCUGGCCAUUCAGGGGGUGGCGUUCUGGCUUUAGGAUAGAAUGAGGGGAGCAAGCUGGUGACCACUGCGCCCUCCAGUGAUCUCUGAUGAUAUGCGGGGAUAAUGGGUUACAAAGACAGACAUUAAUAAGGUAAGAUAAGAGGGGGAGGUUUAUUAAUUUUUCAAGUAAGUUAGGAUGCCCCAGGGCAUGGUAAAAGUGUAAAGAAUCUGGUGAGCGAUGAGGGGCUCGGCUGAUUAAUGCAAGUCAGCUGUCCUCUGAGGGCCAUAGCAAUAAUGAUGAGAUUAUGGAAGAACCUACUGAAGACAAAUGAGAUGCAUGUGGAAUAAAAACGAAGUGUCCUAGUUACUCUUUUGGAGUGCACGAUGGAUUUUUAUGAAGGAAGAACGGAGGUACGAAUGACAGCCUCAGGAGGUGCCAGGACAGGGAUGUGCUGGUGCUGGUCAAGUACUUGGGCCGCCGGGGGUUUCAGGAAUUCUGGGCCAGCCUGGGAGAAGGGUUGAUGGGGAAGUGCGUCCCAGAAACCCUUUCCGCAUGGGUGGACAGAGCUGUCCCCAGGGCCAUGUCUGUAUUUACUGCCCUGCACAGCACUGUACUUUCAUGCUACCAUUUCCUCCAGGACGUGCCAGAAGCUGGGCUCCCUCCAUUGUUCACACUGUCCCCAGUGGACUUCCGCUGUGCCACCGCUGACCAAUGAACUUGGAGCUGGAGAAAGGGAAAUUGGAAUUCUUUUUCUUGUCCUGUUCGAAAUUGCUCCCUGGGUUUUAUACUCUCUCUCUCUCUCUCUCUCUCUCUGCAUUUGUCGUCUUGCUUGCAUGCCUCUCUUUGCUCCGGUGCCUCCCCGGGCUGCCUCUUAGGUCUGUAUCUUUCAAUCCAGGCAAAGGGUGGGCAGGCAGCACCCCAUAUCCUCACUCAACUCAUGCCUUCUGCACCAGUGCAUGGAAGAUUGACGGGGGUGACCCUUGAACUUCAAAGUGAAGAAUUAUUUGCUAAAAAGGCAGCUUCAGAUCCUAACCUCCAGAUGGUUGGGAGUGGGUCGCCGGAGCCUGCCUUUCCCACAAGUGCUUCAUUCGCAAGGGGUUCUGAGGCAAGUCUCUCUCUGAUGGUGGUCUGAGAGACACUGAAACGUUGGUGGUCUGAGAGACACUGAAAGGUAGAGAUUAACUAAGAGCUGCUUCUGACAGACUCUUUUCAAAAGUGCCUAGAAUUUCACUGUGGAUGAUGUGCUCCUUUAUGUUGGUUCCCUGGGACUUGAGCAGUUUAGGGUACAAUGCAGAUCUCCUCCCUCCCCUCCUACACAGGAGUAACCCCUUAAAUCAUGGUUAAGACCACCUCAGUGUGAGUCUAUUUACCAGGUUAGAGCAGGACAGAGUUGUAGGAUCAAGUCUGAAAGGAAGAGACUAGGGAACAGAGAAUAGCCUGGAAAAGCAAGGACCGUUGGUGGAGCCAGGAGGAGGGGGCAGUGGGUGAAGCCAGGGGCUCUCACCAAUUUUUUCUUUCUUUUUUUUUUGUAGCACAGCAUUUCUUUUCAAAUGAAAUGUAAAUGGAAGUCUUAAUAUAGAAAGCCAAUUAAAUGACAGUUUAUUAGUACACAUUUGUUUUAUUUCAAAUUUCAGUAAAUUACAAAAAUGAAAGCAUUUGAAUGAAUGCAAGCACUCGAUAUUGGGGAAUUACAAACAACAGUUCCAAGUGUUAGAUCAGCUUUUUGGAAUCAGAUAAAUACUCGCAAUUUAUAAGUUUGUUUGCAGUUGGCUUUGCAAUUGUGGGAGAGCUUAACCAAACCGAUCUGGAUUCUUAUACAUGGAGUAGCAGGAAAUUUAUAUUUUCAAGUUGGAUCACUGAUGAUGCUCAGUGUGUGCUUAGAUUCCUCUCACAGACAAGCCACUCAAAAAACAACCAGAACUGGGCACCUGGGUGGCUCAGUCAGUUGAGAAUCCAACUCUUGAUUUCGGCUCAGGUCAUUAAAAUCUGUAAGUUUUUAAACUUACACUUCACAUUGAAUUUACAUAAAAAUUAUAAUGCAACACACAUUUGCUAUAUUACAUUUACAUGUACAUACAUGUACAUUUAACUUACAAUAAAAUGUGCAACUUUUGGGGGGGCGGAUAGAGUAUGAGAUAGAUGUCACACAUUUGAAAUACAUAUUUAAAUAAUGGGUUAUAAAUAAAAUAUAUGUAGAACCCUUGGGGUCUCUCUAAAAAAUAGAGGCCUGGGCCAAAACUUUGCUUGUGACAGUCUCACAUGUUGGGGCAGGGAGGGGGGAGGUGGGAAGCAGGGACUGGACUUAGGAAAUGUCUUUUUAAAAAAAAAAAUUUUUUUUUAAACAUUUACUUAUUUUUGAGAGACAGAGAGAGAGUGCAGGAGAGGGGCAGAGAGAGAGGGAGACACAGAAUCCAAAGCAGUCUCCAGGAUCUGAGCUGUCAGCACAGAGCCUGAUGUGGGGCUCAAACUCAGGAACUGUGAGAUCAUGACCUGAGCUGAAGCCGGACGCUUAACCAUCUGAGCCACCCAGGUGCCCCUAGGAAAUAUCUUAAACCAUCUGUGAUAAGCACUGGAUUUCCCUUUCAUCCAGCUAACCUCCAGCUAUUUGUGUAUGAAGGUACAAUUAGGAAAAAAUAGCAAUAAGGUAAUGAGGGAAGGAGGUGGUGUAGAGAGAAAAACAAAAAGAGGGAAGGAGAAUGGGUUGUGAUGAGUUAGAGUUGUCUGGAUGAAGAAGCCAGUCCUACCAUGCAUAAAGAUGAAAAAAAAGAAGGGGCUCAGAAUCUUCUGGAAAGAUGUGAGAGAAGAAAAAAGAAAGAAUAGAGGAUGGUGAGGUGGAAGGGAAACCAGAAGGGACUCUGGAAGGGUCCAAAUUAUAUGGAAGUGUGGAAGGACCUUUAUUGAAACGAUUCAUGAAGUUCAUGCUCGUGCUGUGAGCUUGCUUUUACUGCCCUGGCAAGAGAGGAGGUGCUCGAAGGACUUUGUCUUGGAAAUCCACUGUGGUUCCCCAGUGGGCUGGCUCUUCACACAGCGUUAAGCCCUGCGUUUCGCUCCCUAGCCUUGUUUCUCUCUGCUUGCUCCCUGUGGUCUCUCAUCUCUUCUCAGCUCUCUCCCACUUAGCCCACCAAGGCCUGUCUAUCCAAGUAGAACAGACUUUCAUUUUCCUUGGGUUCACACUGUGCAUACUGACUAACCCGCUUCCUGCCACUCCAGUGGCCCCUCUCCAGCUCCCAACCCCUCUUAUCUCUAUGGUAACGGAAGACACUACGAUCUCCGGAUUCUGCCUCAGAGAGUUGG
rnacentral:lncRNA from 1 species